rnacentral:lncRNA from 1 species
UGUUAGUAGACUUUUUGUUUAUGUGGUGGCAGACUUUUUAAUUUAUGUUAUGGCAGAUUUCUUAACGGAAAUCUAGUGGUGGCAGACUUUUUAAUUUAUUUUAUGGCAGAUUUAUUAAAGGAAAUCUAGAUUAUGUAAACCAAACUUAAUUUAAUGUUCAAUUUCGACCGGUUUACAUUAAUUUCGAAUCUGGUUUAUUUUUAGAUUAAUUAAAAUUAGAAUUAGGUAAUUUUUUUGUAGUUGUCAACUUGUCAUCAUCUCUCUCAUUUUUCUUUUCUUCCUUAUCAAGUUAUCCUUUUUCAUGGUGAUUUAAUCACUUGUUGCAAUCCUUAUGUUUGGAGAAAG